UACGUAGGGGGCAAGCGUUUGUCCGGAAUCAUUGGGCGUAAAGAGCGUGUAGGCGGCCUGGUAAGUCCGCUGUGAAAGUCCAGGGCUCAACCCUGGAAUGCCGGUGGAAACUGUCAGGCUCGAGUCCGGAAGAGGCGAGUGGAAUUCCUGGUGUAGCGGUGAAAUGCGCAGAUAUCAGGAGGAACACCAAUGGCGAAGGCAGCUCGCUGGGACGGUACUGACGCUGGAGACGCGAAAGC
rnacentral:rRNA from 1 species